GAUGAACGCUGGCGGCAUGCCUAAUACAUGCAAGUCGAACGAGAGGAAGGAAAGCUUGCUUUCCUGAAUCUAGUGGCGAACGGGUGAGUAACACGUAGGUAACCUGCCCAUGUGCCCGGGAUAACGCCUGGAAACGGGUGCUAAAACCGGAUAGGUAUCGCUUCUGCAUGGAAGAGAUAUUAAAGGAGCUGCAAGGCUCUGAACAUGGAUGGACCUGCGGUGCAUUAGCUGGUUGGUGAGGUAACGGCCCACCAAGGCGACGAUGCAUAGCCGGCCUGAGAGGGUGAACGGCCACAUUGGGACUGAGACACGGGCCCAAACUCCUACGGGAGGCAGCAGUAGGGAAUUUUUCGUCAAUGGGGGCAACCCUGAACGAGCAAUGCCGCGUGAGUGAGGAAGGUCUUCGGAUCGUAAAGCUCUGUUGCAGGAGAAAAACGGCAGAUAUAGGGAAAAUGAUAUCUGAGUGAUGGUAAACCUGCCAG
rnacentral:rRNA from 1 species